AUAAGGGUCGCCGUGGGGUCCCUGCAAGCUUCUAACUUGCAUACGAGCGGUUCGAGCCCGCUCGCCCUUUUA
rnacentral:tRNA from 1 species